rnacentral:tRNA from 2 species
GCCGAUGUGGCGAAAUGGUAAACGCAGCGGACUUAAAAUCCGCCGGGUGGCGACACCCUUGCCGGUUCGAGUCCGGCCAUCGGCACCA